GUGAAUCAUCGAAUUUUUGAACGCAAAUUGCACUCUUUUCUGUUAGUAUGCCUGUUUGAGUGUCAGCCUAAAAAAAAUCGACAUAGUCGCUGUUUCGCGGUGACAUUCGCCGGAAAUUGGGUCAUCUUAAACCUUUUGGUUUUAAGCGGCUUAAAAUUUUCUUUACGAUUCCACUAACUCUUCUACGAUUUACUUACAC
rnacentral:misc_RNA from 1 species